CGGCAGACGGGUGAGUAACGCGUGGGAAUCUACCCAUCACUACGGAACAACUCCGGGAAACUGGAGCUAAUACCGUAUACGUCCUUCGGGAGAAAGAUUUAUCGGUGAUGGAUGAGCCCGCGUUGGAUUAGCUAGUUGGUGGGGUAAUGGCCUACCAAGGCGACGAUCCAUAGCUGGUCUGAGAGGAUGAUCAGCCACACUGGGACUGAGACACGGCCCAGACUCCUACGGGAGGCAGCAGUGGGGAAUAUUGGACAAUGGGCGAAAGCCUGAUCCAGCCAUGCCGCGUGAGUGAUGAAGGCCCUAGGGUUGUAAAGCUCUUUCAACGGUGAAGAUAAUGACGGUAACCGUAGAAGAAGCCCCGGCUAACUUCGUGCCAGCAGCCGCGGUAAUACGAAGGGGGCUAGCGUUGUUCGGAUUUACUGGGCGUAAAGCGCACGUAGGCGGACUAUUAAGUCAGGGGUGAAAUCCCGGGGCUCAACCCCGGAACUGCCUUUGAUACUGGUAGUCUCGAGUCCGGAAGAGGUGAGUGGAAUUCCGAGUGUAGAGGUGAAAUUCGUAGAUAUUCGGAGGAACACCAGUGGCGAAGGCGGCUCACUGGUCCGGUACUGACGCUGAGGUGCGAAAGCGUGGGGGAGCAAACAGGAUUAGAUACCCUGGUAGUCCACGC
rnacentral:rRNA from 1 species